UUGAACGCUGGCGGCAUGCCUUACACAUGCAAGUCGAACGGCAGCGCGGGCUUCGGCCUGGCGGCGAGUGGCGAACGGGUGAGUAACAUAUCGGAACGUGCCCUGGAGUGGGGGAUAACUAGUCGAAAGAUUAGCUAAUACCGCAUACGAUCUACGGAUGAAAGUGGGGGACCGCAAGGCCUCAUGCUCGUGGAGCGGCCGAUAUCUGAUUAGCUAGUUGGCGGGGUAAAGGCCCACCAAGGCAUCGAUCAGUAGCUGGUCUGAGAGGACGACCAGCCACACUGGGACUGAGACACGGCCCAGACUCCUACGGGAGGCAGCAGUGGGGAAUUUUGGACAAUGGGCGCAAGCCUGAUCCAGCAAUGCCGCGUGAGUGAAGAAGGCCUUCGGGUUGUAAAGCUCUUUUGUCAGGGAAGAAAAGGCGGAGGCUAAUAUCCUCUGCUCAUGACGGUACCUGAAGAAUAAGCACCGGCUAACUACGUGCCAGCAGCCGCGGUAAUACGUAGGGUGCGAGCGUUAAUCGGAAUUACUGGGCGUAAAGCGUGCGCAGGCGGUUGUGCAAGACAGAUGUGAAAUCCCCGGGCUCAACCUGGGAGUUGCAUUUGUGACUGCACGGCUAGAGUGUGUCAGAGGGGGGUAGAAUUCCACGUGUAGCAGUGAAAUGCGUAGAGAUGUGGAGGAAUACCGAUGGCGAAGGCAGCCCCCUGGGAUAACACUGACGCUCAUGCACGAAAGCGUGGGGAGCAAACAGAAUUAGAUACCCUGGUAGUCCACGCCCUAAACGAUGUCAACUAGUUGUCGGGUCUUAAUUGACUUGGUAACGCAGCUAACGCGUGAAGUUGACCGCCUGGGGAGUACGGUCGUAAGAUUAAAACUCAAAGGAAUUGACGGGGACCCGCACAAGCGGUGGAUGAUGUGGAUUAAUUCGAUGCAACGCGAAAAACCUUACCUACCCUUGACAUGGCAGGAAUCCCGGAGAGAUCCGGGAGUGCCCGAAAGGGAACCUGCACACAGGUGCUGCAUGGCUGUCGUCAGCUCGUGUCGUGAGAUGUUGGGUUAAGUCCCGCAACGAGCGCAACCCUUGUCAUUAGUUGCUACGCAAUUGGGCACUCUAAUGAGACUGCCGGUGACAAACCGGAGGAAGGUGGGGAUGACGUCAAGUCCUCAUGGCCCUUAUGGGUAGGGCUUCACACGUAAUACAAUGGCGCGUACAGAGGGUAGCCAAUGGGCGAGCCUGGAGCUAAUCCCUAGAAAGCGCGUCGUAGUCCGGAUUGCAGUCUGCAACUCGACUGCAUGAAGUCGGAAUCGCUAGUAAUCGCGGAUCAGCAUGUCGCGGUGAAUACGUUCCCAGGUCCUUGUACACACCGCCCGUCACACCAUGGGAGUUGGUUUCACCAGAAGCCGGGCGCUUAACCCGCAAGGGAUGGCAGCCAGACCACGGUGAGGAUUCAGGACUGGGGUG
rnacentral:rRNA from 1 species